rnacentral:rRNA from 1 species
UACGUAGGGCGCAAGCGUUGUCCGGAAUUAUUGGGCGUAAAGAGCUCGUAGGCGGCCAGUUGCGUCUGCGGUGAAAUCCCGGGGCUCAACCUCGGGCGUGCAGUGGAUACGGGCUGGCUAGAGGCAGGCAGGGGAGAACGGAAUUGCCGGUGUAGCGGUGAAAUGCGCAGAUAUCGGGAGGAACACCGGUGGCGAAGGCGGUUCUCUGGGCCUGUACUGACGCUGAGGAGCGAAAGCGUGGGGAGCGAACAGG